rnacentral:rRNA from 1 species
CAGCCGCCACGGUAAUACGUAGGGUGCGAGCGUUAAUCGGAAUUACUGGGCGUAAAGCGUGCGCAGGCGGUUCGUUAAGACAGAUGUGAAAUCCCCGGGCUUAACCUGGGAACUGCAUUUGUGACUGGCGAGCUGGAGUAUGGCAGAGGGGGGUAGAAUUCCACGUGUAGCAGUGAAAUGCGUAGAGAUGUGGAGGAAUACCGAUGGCGAAGGCAGCCCCCUGGGCCAAUACUGACGCUCAUGCACGAAAGCGUGGGGAGCAAACAGGAUUAGAUACCCCGGUAGUCCCUGUCUCUUAUAC